rnacentral:rRNA from 1 species
GAUGAACGCUGGCGGCGUGCCUAAUACAUGCAAGUCGAGCGAACAGACGAGGAGCUUGCUCCUCUGACGUUAGCGGCGGACGGGUGAGUAACACGUGGAUAACCUACCUAUAAACCUGGGAUAACUUCGGGAAACCGGAGCUAAUACCGGAUAAUAUAUUGAACCGCAUGGUUCAAUAGUGAAAGACGGUUUUGCUGUCACUUAUAGAUGGAUCCGCGCCGCAUUAGCUAGUUGGUAAGGUAACGGCUUACCAAGGCAACGAUGCGUAGCCGACCUGAGAGGGUGAUCGGCCACACUGGAACUGAGACACGGUCCAGACUCCUACGGGAGGCAGCAGUAGGGAAUCUUCCGCAAUGGGCGAAAGCCUGACGGAGCAACGCCGCGUGAGUGAUGAAGGUCUUCGGAUCGUAAAACUCUGUUAUUAGGGAAGAAAAAAUGUGUAAGUAACUAUGCACGUCUUGACGGUACCUAAUCAGAAAGCCACGGCUAACUACGUG